GACGAACGCUGGCGGCGUGCUUAACACAUGCAAGUCGAACGGAAAGGCCCUGCUUGCAGGGUACUCGAGCGGCGAACGGGUGAGUAACACGUGGGUGAUCUGCCCUGCACUUCGGGAUAAGCCUGGGAAACUGGGUCUAAUACCGGAUAGGAGCCAUUUUUAGUGUGAUGGUUGGAAAGUUUUUUCGGUGUAGGGUGAGCUCGCGGCCUAUCAGCUUGUUGGUGGGGUAAUGGCCUACCAAGGCGGCGACGGGUAGCCGGCCUGAGAGGGUGGACGGCCACAGUGGGACUGAGAGACGGCCCAGACUCCGACGGGAGGCAGAAGUGGGGAAGAUUGCACAAGGGGCGCAAGCCUGAUGCAGCGACGCCGCGUGGGGGAUGACGGUCUUCGGGUUGUAAACUCCUUUCGCUAGGGACGAAGCUUUUUGUGACGGUACCUAGAGAAGAAGCACCGGCUAACUACGUG
rnacentral:rRNA from 1 species